AGAGGACAAGAAUUUAAAGCUCAUAAAUCUGCUUGUACCUCAAUCCCGUUUUUAAUGCCGUGUUUCAACAUGAAAUGGAAGAAAGCAUAAAGAAUUGAGUGGAAAUAAAUGAUUUAGACCCUGAUGUUUUUAAAGAAAUGAUGACAUUCAUUAACACAGGGAAAGAACUAAACCUUGACAAAAUGACGGACAACUUGUUGGCAGCUGCAGACAAACAUGCACUGGGAACAGCUAAAGGUCAUGUGUGAGGAAGCUUUGUAGUAAUCUCUCAGUAGAAAAUAUUGCUGAUCCCCUUGUCCUUGCAGAUUUGCAUGUUGCAGAACAGUUGAAAGCACAAACCAUAGACAUUAUUAAUAGGUGCAGUGUACUUCGACAACUUCGCUGUAAAGAUAAGAAAAACUGGAAUGUCAACGAAGCAACCAACAUAAUGGAAACAUCAAGGUGAAAGUGCACGAUUCAGUCUCACCCUUACUUAGCAGCAGAAGCCUUCUGAGCACUAGCAUCUGCACAGUGUCCACAGUUUGGCAUUCCACACACACGGCUAAAACAGUCCUAA
rnacentral:lncRNA from 1 species